UAUGAAGUAAAAUUUCAAAAAAUAACUGUUAUACAAAUGAAUGAAAAAACAAAUGUAUACACUAUACCAAGGAAACUUUCGCACCUUCUGUACAUGUAUUUGGAUUCUUUAAUACUGUAUUCCCAAACAUCUCCCAAGAUGAAUUGACCUCUAAAAAUGUAAAUAGAUACUUCGUAACUUGUAUAUUUUAACUUUUUCUCUUAAAAAAAUAGAUUAGAUGAUAAAGGCCAAGUGGUUCGCAUCAACUUCAAUAAUGCAACUAGAGACACAAUAUUUGAUGUACCUGUUGAAAGAAUUCAGCCUUUUUAUGCUGCUCUGAAGGAGUUUGUUGACCUCAUGAACUGUAAAGAAUCCAAGUUCACUUUCAAGAUGGAUCCAGGUGAUGUGAUUACUUUUGAUAACUGGCGCUUACUGCAUGGCCGGCGCAGCUAUGAAGCAGGCACUGAGAUUUCCCGCCAUCUAGAGGGAGCAUAUGCUGACUGGGAUGUGGUAAUGUCGAGGCUUCGGAUCUUAAGGCAGAGUGUCCAGAAUAGAAACUGAGUCUCCUGUCUGUCAUUUCAGGAAGAUUUCAAUGAUCGUAUUUUGUAAGAUAUGGCAAUGUUAUUUCUCUUUAGAGACCAUGAUCUCUGUCAUUUGCAUAAUUGAUUUCUUUACCACUGAACAUGUCAUCUUUCUCACAAAUUUUCUUUGUAAUCAUACACAAUGCCAACUUAGAUGUUGUAGCAGUGUUCUCCUCUUUCCACAUAAAGCAUUCCUUCUGUUCUAUUGCAUGUAUGAUCUAAUUUCUUUUGCCCAUAUGUGAGAAUCUUCAGAAUGCCUAUAGUUUCAUAGCAAAUAAAACUUUUCUUCAAAAUAAAGCCUUUUUUAACAUACAACUUGUGUUUCAAAUAAACUUAUCUCAAAUAAAAUGUUU